GAAACAAAUCAUCAUUUGUACAAAACCAUGAAGAAAUCCAGUUUGCUGGAGGCCAGGUGCUCUUCAGCCUGAGAUGGUGCCAGCCGGGAGCUCUGGCUGUGGGACACGUCUGCAGGUGUUGACAGAAGUCUGUGGGGCCAGGCUAAAAUCAGGAAAAUGAUUCAAUGGGACUGCUAAGCCGCCCUUGCUCAACCAGGGAGAUUUUCGAAUGCCUCGGAUUACCUCCGCCUGGUU